AGAGUUUGAUCAUGGCUCAGAAUGAACGCUGGCGGCGUGCUUAACACAUGCAAGUCGCACGAGAACGCUUCAGCUUGCUGGAGCUAGUAAAGUGGCGCACGGGUGAGUAACGCGUGGGUAAUCUACCUCCGAAUUGGGGAUAACACUGCGAAAGCGGUGCUAAUACCGAAUGAUAUUUCCGGAGCUUUGGCUUCGGGGAUCAAAGGUGGCCUCUACAUGUAAGCUACCGUUUGGAGAUGAGCCCGCGUACCAUUAGCUAGUUGGUAGGGUAAUGGCCUACCAAGGCUGCGAUGGUUAGCUGGUCUGAGAGGAUGAUCAGCCACACUGGAACUGACACACGGUCCAGACUCCUACGGGAGGCAGCAGUGAGGAAUUUUGCGCAAUGGGGGAAACCCUGACGCAGCAACGCCGCGUGAGUGAUGAAGGCUUUCGGGUCGUAAAGCUCUGUCAAGUGGGAAGAAUAUGCCCUGUGAUAAUACCAUGGGGCACUGACGGUACCACUGAAGGAAGCACCGGCUAACUCCGUGCCAGCAGCCGCGGUAAUACAGGGGGUGCAAGCGUUAUUCGGAAUCAUUGGGCGUAAAGGGCGCGUAGGCGGCCCCUUAAGUCAGAUGUGAAAGCCCUCAGCUUAACUGAGGAAGUGCAUUUGAAACUAAGGGGCUUGAGUAUGGGAGAGGGAAGCGGAAUUCCUGGUGUAGCGGUGAAAUGCGUAGAUAUCAGGAGGAACACCGGUGGCGAAGGCGGCUUCCUGGACCAAUACUGAGCUGAGGCGCGAAGGCGUGGGGAGCAAACAGGAUUAGAUACCCUAGUAGUCC
rnacentral:rRNA from 1 species